GACGAACGCUGGCGGCGUGCUUAACACAUGCAAGUCGAACGGAAAGGCCUCUUUCGGGGGGUACUCGAGUGGCGAACGGGUGAGUAACACGUGAGUAACCUGCCCUUGACUUUGGGAUAACUUCAGGAAACUGGGGCUAAUACCGGAUAGGAGCUCCUGCUGCAUGGUGGGGGUUGGAAAGUUUCGGCGGUUGGGGAUGGACUCGCGGCUUAUCAGCUUGUUGGUGGGGUAGUGGCUUACCAAGGCUUUGACGGGUAGCCGGCCUGAGAGGGUGACCGGCCACAUUGGGACUGAGAUACGGCCCAGACUCCUACGGGAGGCAGCAGUGGGGAAUAUUGCACAAUGGGUGGAAGCCUGAUGCAGCAACGCCGUGUGCGGGAUGACGGUCUUCGGGUUGUAAACCGAUUUCGCUCAUGACGAAGCUUUGUGUGACGGUAGUGGGUAAAGAAGCACCGGCUAACUACGUG
rnacentral:rRNA from 1 species